rnacentral:rRNA from 1 species
GGCUGCAGAAUUUAUAACUGUACAAAGGUAGCAUAAUAAUUUGUUUUUUAAUUAAAAACUAGAAUGAAUGAUUAAAUGAAAUAUAAACUGUUUCAAUUAAAUAAAAAUUUAAAUUUUUAUUUAAGUUAAAAAACUUAAAUAAAUUUAAAAGACGAUAAGACCCUAUAGAAUUUUAUUUAUUCUAUAAAAAUAUUUAUUUAAUAAUUUAUUAUUUUUAUAGAAAUAAAUUUAAUUGGGGUAAUUAAAAAAUUUAAAAAAUUUUUUUAAAAUUUAACAAAAAUUAUUGAAUAAAUUAUCUUAAAAUUUAAAAUAUUAAAAUUAAUUACCUUAGGGAUAACAGCAUAAUUUUUUUUAAAAGAUCUUAUU